ensembl:lncRNA
AUGGGAACUUUCCUCUGCACUGGGAGAUGGGGCUGAGUUCCAUCACACAGCGAGGUUGAGGUGGAUUUUAUAGAGCUACUCAAUGUUGAUGACAUGAGUGAUGAGACUCCUGGGGUCUGCUGGUGCAGACCAUGGGUGGCCUUCAACAUCUGACCUCUGGGAAAAUAGGAGGCUGCUCUGGCAGUGUCCUGAGGCAGAAUCCUGGAGUAAGAUCUUCAAAGAAGAUCGGAUCAUAGAACAGCCUGGGUUGAAAAGGACCACAAUGCUCAUCCAGUUCCAACCCCCUGCUAUGUGCAGGGUCGCCAACCAGCAGACCAGGCUGCCCAGAGCCACAUCCAGCCUGGCCUUGAAUGCCUCCAGGGAUGGGGCAUCCACAGCCUCCUUGGGCAACCUGUUCCAGUGCAUCACCACCCUCUGUGUAAAAAACUUCCUCCUCAUAUCCAACCUAAACCUCCCCUGUUUCAGUUUAAAACCAUUCCCCCUUGUCCUAUCACUGUCCACUGUCAUAAACAGCCGUUCCCCCUCCUGUUUAUAUGCUCCCUUCAAGUACUGGAAGGCCGCAACGAGGUCUCCCCAGAGCCUUCUCUUCUUGAAGCUAAACAAGCUCAGUUCCCUCAACCUGUCCUCAUAGGAGAGGUGCUCCAGCCCUCUGAUCAUCAAGAUGAAAUAUAUAAAGUCACAUUACUGAUGCACUGCCACUGAAAUGUGUACUGAAGGAGGAAAUCUCACCUCCAAGACCUCUAAUGUAAUUCCUUUCCUUAUGCCCGAAAUCAAAAGCCAAUGACUGGAAAUGCAGCUGAGAAAGGCUUUAACUUCCAGCCAUUAAGUGCUGCAAACUGACAUGCCUGAUGAUUGAUAGUACCACGUGGAACACCUCUUUCAUUUCUUACAGUCGCCGGUGAUAACAGCCUGUGUUGGCUCUGAUUUCUGAGCUGGCUCUCCUGGAUCAGGAGCACACGAUUCAUCCAUCCCCUCCCGCGAUCCCCAUGGUACAGCUGCACGCUGAUGUUCCCGUGUGCCCUUGCAGUUCCCCUACCUUGGAAGCACCAGCCCAUGCAUGGGACACACGAAUGUUCCCAAUGACACUGUCUAUUAUUGGCAAGUUUCUGUAAGUGUGUGAGAAUCCCUGCAGCUCCCUGCAAAAUAAGCCUCCAGAGCAGGUUUUGUGUUGCUUCCCUUGGAUGGAUUUCCUCUCCCUGGAGAGCACAAUGGGUUUCCAGAGGCAUGUGGAAGCUGAUGAGAGAAGAGGGAUCAAAUCACUCUUUGGCAUCCUCCCCUGCCUGUGACCAGAGGUGUUUUCUAAGCGAUGGCUGAUCAGUUAAUCUGAAGUGUUACACAAACGAUUCCUGCCCACCGUGACCAUCAUUCUGUAGCCCGAAGAACGAUGUCUGCUCACAUCACAUUCACUGCAGAGAUGGGUGUUUCUUAGGACAUCAUCCUCAUAAAUCCACCACUCAUGCUUAUUAUACGUGCUUGGUAUUUGUCAAAUGCUUUUUGAAGAACUUUGGUUAGUAAGCAAUACUGGUGGUAGGUGGACGGUUGGACUGGAUGAUCUUAGGGGUGUUUUCCAACCUUAAUGAUUCUAUGAUUUAUAACUAUCCCCACUUUACAGUGAGGAGAUGGAGAAGAGCAGACUACAAGCAGAAUCAGCCCAGAGCUGAUCAGCCCAGAGCUGGGAUUAACACCAAAGUCACAACUCCAGCACGCUGCCUUUCCUGUGGUUCAUGUGGGAAACAGGAGGACAAAAAGUGUUUGGGGGGAAUCUUUUUUCCUGGGGAAACAACAGCCUUCCCAAGGUACCACUGAGAAUUUAUCUUUUUCUUCCAAUGUUCAGCUCUCCCAGGCUGGGUUAAUUACCCCCUGUGCAAGCAGCAGAGCUGCCUCUGAAGCUGUGCUUUCAGAAUGCUUUGAACAAUGGCACAGCAAUUGCCCAGGGCUUUCUGUUGGAGCAACUGAAUAGGGAGAGCUGUUAGCUUCU